rnacentral:tRNA from 1 species
GUUUUAAUAGUUUAAAAAAACAUCGGUUUUGUAAGCCGAAAUUAAGCUGGCCCCCCCCUCUUUUAAAACU